UCCCGAGUAGCUCAGUUGGAUAGAGCGUUUGGUUCUGUGUAGGUUUCUGAAACACGUAUAAAUCCUAUUCGCCAAAAGGUCAUCGGUUCGAGUCCGAUCUCGGGAU
rnacentral:tRNA from 1 species